rnacentral:snRNA from 1 species
GGAUGUGAGGGCGAUCUGGCUGCGACAUCUGUCACCCCAUUGAUCGCCAGGGUUGAUUCGGCUGAUCUGGCUGGCUAGGCGGGUGUCCCCUUCCUCCCUCACCGCUCCAUGUGCGUCCCUCCCGAAGCUGCGCGCUCGGUCGAAGAGGACGACCAUCCCCGAUAGAGGAGGACCGUUCUUCGGUCAAGGGUAUACGAGUAGCUGCGCUCCCCUGCUAGAACCUCCAAACAAGCUCUCAAAUUUGGGGAGCUCAAUGGAACCUCCACUUCAGAUCCCCUGUAGGU